ensembl:snRNA U4 U4 spliceosomal RNA
AGCUUUGCGCAGCGGCAGUAUUGUAGCCAAUGAGAUUUAUCUGAGGUGCGAUUAUUGAUAAUUGAAAACUUUUCCCAGUACCCUGCUGUGAUGACUUGCAAUAUGGUCAGCAUUGGCAAUUUUUGACAGUCUCUACAGAGA